rnacentral:lncRNA from 1 species
UCCUCACUCCUGUUUCCUCUGGGCUCAAGUUUGUGGCCAUUAAAUAGAAGAGGAGAAAGUUUGAACCAGGCAUGAAAUAUUUAUCAGAACCUGAAGAACAUCUCUCUUUCUUCACAAGAAGCUUGUAACACAAUAACUACCACUUAUCGAGCCCCUGCUGAAUGCUUGGAUCUAUGCAAAUAAAAUUUAAUCUGAUCUACAGAACAACUCUAUAAGGUACAGCUGUUGGGAGCUGCAUCUCCUACCCUCAGUCUCCCUGUCUGUGGUUCCAGAGGGAAGAAGAGGGGAAAAAAAGGAUGAAGAGAAUUGUUUCAGUGCUGGGGGAGUCUCCCUCUGAUGCCGAGCCAAAGCUGGA